GGAUUCAACUGAUGUAAAUACCCCAGAAGCAGAAGUUCCCAGAGAAAUAUUAAUGAGAUGUAGGUGGUAUCAGCGCUGACAUGGAAGUGGCACCAAUUGCAACAAUGGAGAUGGACGUGCUGUUAGAGAGGAUCACAAACACAAAUGAAGUUUCCUCAUAUAUGGUAGUGGUGACCUUACAUGCAGUAACAAGAGGAGCUUUACAUCAGGGCUCCUUGUGCUGCUGUUCACUUCGUAGAUAGAAGAAAGUUACAGAAGAGAGUGGACACCCAUAGACACAAAAAUUGCAACAAUAAAGAAGCUAAUUCAAGGGAGCCCAUCCAUUAGACAGCUCCAAAGCAAUAACAGAAAUGCAAGGGAACUGCAUACUAUUUGCAAUGGGAGCUCCUUUUUUAUCCAUUUGGUAUAAAGCAAUGAUCCCCAACCAGUGGCUCCGAGCUGAGAGGAUACUCAAGCCUAAUAAAUCAUUUGUUU